UCCUGGUUAACCCAGGCAGUCUCACUAGAGUUCCCACCUUUACGUGUUGGCAACUAAUGAUAAGGGUUGCGCUCGUUGCUGGACUUAACCAAACACCUCACGGCACGAGCUGACGACAGCCAUGCAGCACCUGUGCACCGGCCCCGAAGGGAAACACCGUUUCUGGUGUCGUCCAGUGCAUGUCAAGCCUGGGUAAGGUUCUUCGCGUUGCAUCGAAUUAAACCACAUGCUCCACUGCUUGUGCGGGUCCCCGUCAAUUCUUUUGAGUUUCAGCCUUGCGACUGUACUUCUCAGGCGGUAUACUUAUCGCGUUAGCUACGGCACAAUUAGGGUUGAGUCCAAUUACACCAAGUAUACAUAGUUUACGGCAAGGACUAC
rnacentral:misc_RNA from 1 species